rnacentral:misc_RNA from 1 species
AUGAAAAUGAAUGUCGAGAAGGGUUGUAGCUGGCCUCUCGGGGCAUGUGCACACCUUGAUCGCGCAUCCAACUCUCUCACACCUGUGCACUUACAUGUAGCUUGGGAUGAUUACAAUGUUGGAAACAGCAUUGAAAGCCCUCGCUAUGAAUUUUUACACACCUGUUUAUAAAGUUAUAGAAUGGAUAAAAGUUAUAGCGUGUAACAGCGCAAAUACAUA